AUGGUGAUGUUGUGCAUAAGUGAAGGACAAGUGGAAAUCACUCCUGUACCAACAACUAUUCAGCAAGUUUUGGACGAGUACCAGGACCUUUUUCGGGAGCCAACAGAGUUGCCACCGCACAGAGAAUGGGACCAUGCCAUACCCUUGCUACCAGGAGCAAAACCAGUGAAUCUCAGACCAUAUCGAUACACACCAGAGCAGAAGGACGAAAUUGAGGCUCAAGUUAAGGAACUGCUUGCCAAAGGGCUCAUUACCGCCAGUACCAGUCCAUUUGCGUCGCCAGUUUUGCUAGUGAAAAAGAAAGAUCAAACAUGGAGGUUGUGUGUGGAUUUCAGACACCUGAACGCGAUCACUCUAAAGGCCACAUACCCAAUGCCAAUCAUUGAGGAACUCCUGGACGAACUGGCAGGGGCCUGUUGGUUCUCCAAGAUGGACCUACGGGCUGGAUAUCACUAG
rnacentral:rRNA from 1 species